rnacentral:rRNA from 1 species
CGAGCACGCGCGUGUGGCAUAUCAAUAAGCGGAGGAAAAGAAACUAACAAGGAUUCCCUAGUAACGGCGAGUGAAGCGGGAAGAGCUCAAAUUUGAAAUCUUAAAGGUUCUACCUUGACGAAUUGUAGUUUAUAGAAGUGUUUUCUGUUAGUGGAGUGGCAAAAGUUCUUUGGAAUAGGACAUCAUAGAGGGUGAGAAUCCCGUAUUUGGUCAUUCCUCCUAGCGUUGUGAUACACUUUCAACGAGUCGGAUUGUUUGGGAAUGCAGUCCAAAAUGGGUGGUAAAUUUCAUCUAAAGCUAAAUAUUGGCGAGAUGACCGAUAGCGAACAAGUACCGUGAGGGAAAGAUGAAAAGAACUUUGAAAAGAGAGUUAAACAGUACGUGAAAUUGUCAAAAGGGAAGCGUUUGACACCAGUGUUGUUUUUCCGAAAAUCAAUUACGAAUGUUUUGUUUUUGAGGAGUUAUGACUUCAUCGGCUUGCUUCUUUCUUUACGAAACUUUCUUAAUGCACUUUUCGGUUAACAAGUCAACAUCAAUUUCUUUUGUUGUAAAAGGGUAUGAGGAAGGUGGCUUUCUUUUCGGAGAAAGUGUUUAUAGCCUUGUGCCUCUACAAUCGGAGAGAUUGAGGUCUGCAGCGUAGAUCCCUCGGGGUUAGAUACGUUUGUGCUAAGUUAUAGCUUUUCAUAGACAACUUGUUGACUAUGUUUAGUCUUGUAGCUUACUCGCUGACGCUAUUUUACCUACGCUUAGGAUGUUGAUGUGAUACUGCGAGCA